AUGGCUGACCUAGUGAAAGUGAGCAUUUAUCAUUGUGACAGCUCGGGCUGGAAGAAGAUAUUUGGAGAAGGAGCUAACAUCAUAGUAACUCCUUCCGAGAGAAACCUUGCUGCAGACACUUCCCCCAAGCCCACUGUUUUUCUUCCUUCAAUUGCUGAAAUCAACCAUGAUAAUGCUGGAACAUAUCUUUGUCUCCUGGAGAACUUUUUCCCUGAUGUUAUUACAGUGUCUUGGAGAGUAAAAAAUGACAAAAGAGCUCUGCCAUCCCAGCAGGGAAACACCAUGAAGACCAAGGACACAUACAUGAAGCUCAGCUGGCUGACCGUGACCGAAAACUCUAUGGAUAAACAACAUGUGUGUGUUGUCAAACACCAGAAAAAUAUAGGAGGAAUUGAUCAAGAGAUUAUUUUUCCUUCAAUAAAAGAAGUUGUCACCUCAGCUGUCACUACUACUGAGCCUCCAACUACUGAGCCUCCAAAUGAUUGUUUGACUGAUGAAAGCAGUGCCCUGCAGCUGCAGCUCACGACCACCUCUGCCUAUUACACCUACCUCUUACUCCUCCUCCUGAGCGCAGUCUACUUUGUUGUCAUCAUUUCCUGUGUGUUUAGGAGAACAGGCGUCUGCUGUGACGGGAAGAUCUCGUGACGGGGGGUGGCUACCGAGAGGUCAACUUUCCUUCGCCAUCUACAGUCCCAGAAAUUCUCUGCUUGCCUUUUGGUUUGGGUUAUCUCAGUUCAGAUGUGUAUUUGUCUCUGAUGUCAUAAUUGUCCCACCCCCAAGUCCUUUCAACUCCUGAGCGCACACUGUGGGCAGCUCCCUGCCUCCUCCCUCAGCACCUCCACCCAGACCAAAACCCUGACCCUCCCUGUCACACACCCUGGAGAAGUCAGCUUUGCUGCUCGAAUUCUGUACUUAGAUUUUCAUAACAUGCACAAUAAAUACGAAAGAAUCA